UAACAUCUUCAGGGCAGGGUGUAAAUCCCUACCGGUGGUAUAGCCCACGAGCCGUAAAACGCAUGAUUUGGUGAAAUUCCAAAGCCGACAGUAUAGUCUGGAUGAAAGAAGAUAUAG
rnacentral:ncRNA from 2 species